GUGGGGAAUAUUGGGCAAUGGGGGAAACCCUGACCCAGCGACGCCGCGUGAGGGAAGACGGCCUUCGGGUUGUAAACCUCUUUUGUACGGGAAGAAGGAAGUGACGGUACUGUACGAAUAAGUCCCGGCUAACUACGUGUCAGCAGCCGCGGUAAUACGUAGGGGACGAGCGUUGUCCGGAAUUACUGGGCGUAAAGGGCGCGCAGGCUGUGCUGCAAGUCAGCUGUGAAAUGUCUGGGCUUAACCCGGGCAUGCGGUUGAGACUGCAGUGCUGGAGUGCUGUAGAGGCAAGUGGAAUUCCCAGUGUAGCGGUGAAAUGCGUAGAUAUUGGGAAGAACACCGGUGGCGAAGGCGACUUGCUGGGCAGCAACUGACGCUGAGGCGCGAAAGCCAGGGGAGCAAACGGGAUUAGAAACCCCUGUAGUCC
rnacentral:rRNA from 1 species